UGCCCUACAGUUCCCCUUGCGGGAACAAGGAGCCGGUAUCAGGCACAUCUACAAGCCCACGACACCUUGCUUAGCCACACCCUCAAGGGAACUCAGCAGUGAUAAACAUUAAGCCAUAAGUGAAAACUUGACUUAGUUAAGGCUAAGAGGGSCGGUAAAACUCGUGCCAGCCACCGCGGUUAUACGAGAGACCCAAGUUGAUAACCGCCGGCGUAAAGCGUGGUUAAGUUAAAACUCAAACUAAAGUCAAACAUYUUCAAGACUGUUAUACGUAACCGAAGACAGGAAGUUCAACCACGAAAGUGACUUUACUUGAUCUGACCCCACGAAAGCUAAGAAACAAACUGGGAUUAGAUACCCCACUAUGCUUAGCCCUAAACAUUGAUAGUAUUAUACACCCACUAUCCGCCUGGGAACUACGAGCAACAGCUUAAAACCCAAAGGACUUGGCGGUGCUUUAGAUCCACCUAGAGGAGCCUGUUCUAGAACCGAUAACCCCCGUUCAACCUCACCCUUCCUUGUUUAUCCCGCCUAUAUACCGCCGUCGUCAGCUUACCCUGUGAAGGUCUAAUAGUAAGCAAAACUGGCACAGCCUUAAACGUCAGGUCGAGGUGUAGCGUAUGGAGGGGGAAGAAAUGGGCUACAUUCGCUACUACAGCGAACACGAAAGAUGUACUGAAACAUCCAUCUGAAGGAGGAUUUAGCAGUAAGCAG
rnacentral:rRNA from 1 species